rnacentral:rRNA from 1 species
GAUGAACGCUGGCGGCGUGCCUAAUACAUGCAAGUCGAGCGAACAGAUGAGGAGCUUGCUCCUCUGACGUUAGCGGCGGACGGGUGAGUAACACGUGGAUAACCUACCUAUAAGACUGGGAUAACUUCGGGAAACCGGAGCUAAUACCGGAUAAUAUAUUGAACCGCAUGGUUCAAUAGUGAAAGACGGUUUUGCUGUCACUUAUAGAUGGAUCCGCGCCGCAUUAGCUAGUUGGUAAGGUAACGGCUUACCAAGGCAACGAUGCGUAGCCGACCUGAGAGGGUGAUCGGCCACACUGGAACUGAGACACGGUCCAGACUCCUACGGGAGGCAGCAGUAGGGAAUCUUCCGCAAUGGGCGAAUGCCUGACGGAGCAACGCCGCGUGAGUGAUGAAGGUCUUCGGAUCGUAAAACUCUGUUAUUAGGGAAGAACAAAUGUGUAAGUAACUAUGCACGUCUUGACGGUACCUAAUCAGAAAGCCACGGCUAACUACGUG